UGGCAUCUUUGUCUCCGGUUCCUGCUCCACCCCUCAGACCACACCUGAGUUUAUGCUAAUGAGGAACUCCAGGCGCUGGAAACUCAGAUGGGCGUCUGGAUCAGCGACUCACGUGGCUGUGCUGAUGGGCGGAGGGCGCACCCGAGGGCCCUCCCGGACCUCACCUGUAGUCAUUGGGACCUGCUUUCCUGAGUUCCCUCCCACCCUGGGCCCAGGAGUCACCGGCGCCCUUGGGCGAUUCCUACGGGGUCAAGUUUGAGCAGCUCGGCCCUAGAGACAGCAGCCUCAGGGCAUCUCGAGGGCUGCACGGUCCGACCUCAGACAGACACUGUGCACCGCCAGAAAGAAAAGGAUCUGCUUGGAGGACCAUGAGGCCCAGGCUGGAGCCCGUCCUGCCCACGAACCUCGCUGUGCAGUGUGCACAUGUUAGCUCUAUCCAGAUCCAUCUCCCUCCCUUCCGGUCGCCAUCUCAGGGCUUCCCUGGUGGCGCAGUGGUUAAGAAUCCGCCUGCCAAUGCAGGGGACACGGGUUCAAGCCCUGAUCCAGGAAGAUCCCACGUGCCGAGGAGCAACUAAGCCCGUGUGCCACAACUACUGAGCCCGCGCCCCUAGAGCCCGUGCUCCGCAACAAGAGAAGCCACCACGAUGAGAGGCCCGUGCACCGCGAUGAAGAGUAGCUCCCGCUUGCCACAACUAGAGAAAGCCUGCACGCAGCAACAAAGACCCAGUGUAGACAAAAAUAAAUUAAUUAAAAAAAAAGAAAUCUCAGCUUUAAAAAAAAAAAAAUCGCUCUG